rnacentral:lncRNA from 1 species
UGGUUUUAGCAUAGUUGAGUUUUAAUUGUGGCCAAGCUCAGUCAAUAAGUCACAAGUCCAGAAAAAAAGCUGUUCCUAUUAAAUCUCCCCAGGUCCUUUUACUAAGACGGAAAAACAAGGAAUCAAAGAGGGAGGGGUUGAGGGGGGGGGAAGGAAUUAAAGCCUAGGAAUGGUAGAUAAGCUAUCCCAAAACUUCAAAACUAACACUACGAUUCUAUUUUAAUCAGCUUUUGGCUGGUACCUACUGCUAUAUCACCUAGUAUGACAUUUCGGGAUUAUCGGGACAAUGAAGGAAACUGCACAGAGGGCAAAGAAGGUAGGUUGAAUUUAAAUUUUUCAGUGUAAAAGUGUGGGUUGGGUGGGCACAUUGUCUUAGAAUUUACCUAGUAGCAUAUAGAUAGCUAUGGAAUGCAAUUGUGCCUGGCCUUUUGUGAAAUGCAGGGCUUGUGUGUUACAUGGGCUGUGACUAGAAGUCAUCUACAGAA